rnacentral:rRNA from 1 species
GACGAACGCUGGCGGCGUGCUUAACACAUGCAAGUCGAACGGAAAGGCCCUGCUUUUGUGGGGUGCUCGAGUGGCGAACGGGUGAGUAACACGUGAGUAACCUGCCCUUGACUUUGGGAUAACUUCAGGAAACUGGGGCUAAUACCGGAUAGGAGCUCCUGCUGCGUGGUGGGGGUUGGAAAGUUUCGGCGGUUGGGGAUGGACUCGCGGCUUAUCAGCUUGUUGGUGGGGUAGUGGCUUACCAAGGCUUUGACGGGUAGCCGGCCUGAGAGGGUGACCGGCCACAUUGGGACUGAGAUACGGCCCAGACUCCUACGGGAGGCAGCAGUGGGGAGUAUUGCACAAUGGGCGGAAGCCUGAUGCAGCAACGCCGCGUGCGGGAUGACGGCCUUCGGGUUGUAAACCGCUUUCGCCUGUGACGAAGCGUGAGUGACGGUAAUGGGUAAAGAAGCACCGGCUAACUACGUG